rnacentral:lncRNA from 1 species
GAGCGCCUGAGCAACCUCAGCAGAUGGCCGCACGGUCGGGAACAUCUGGAGGUCGCCAGAGAGAGAGAGAGAGAGAGAGAGAGAGAGAGAGAGAGAGUGUGUGUGUGUGUGUGUAAGACAGAGGGUGGGGGGGAUGUUGGUAAGAAAGAGAUUGGGUGGGUGAGGGUCCCCUCUUCUCGAGUUCAACCCCGUUUUGUUUUUUUUUAAUGAGUGAAAAAGAGGUCCAGAGACUUUAGUGAGAAGUACAUCAGGAAUCUGAAACUGAAAGACUGGCUGAAAGACGAACCCACAGAGAGGAGACAGACAGGCUCAGGCAGAAAACCUGGGGAGAGAGAAGGAAAACAGCAGACUAAUUUUUUCUGAAGGGGACCGUAGACUGCUGGUUGGAUUUCUAAGAAGGGAAACUGUGUGUGUGAGUCGGCACCGGUUUAUUCCUCCCUCUGCAGUCCAUCCUCUCUUCACCCCUUUUUAUG